CUGCUCACCAGGGCCUGGUCCUCUCCACCAGGUGUUGACCUGCCCUCCUGGAGCAAAAGAAUCAGGACAGGCUUGGGGGUGCCGGGCCUGAGCAGACGCGGGGCACCACGGAGGCGGGUGGCGGGA